CUUAUUUCAGGAUAAUUGGUGUUGUUUUUGCUGCAGCUCAGGCCGGAUUUUGGAUUGCAAGGCUAAGCAGGUCAUCUAAAUUGAAGCUGAAAAGAAGAAAUAUGUAAACCACAUUGAGGAGUUAGUCCAAUGAAUGGGAUGGGAGCCCUUCAAAGUCACAUAUACAAGCGAUUUAUGUUCAAGCUUUAUACGAGCAGGCAAUUGAGUUAAUCGGAAAGGGGAUAGCCUAUGUGGAUCACCAGAUUUGAUUGUGUCUUGAAGUAACAAGGAAGAAGGGUCAGUUUAUGUUAUGCACUCAGCACAAAAAAUGAUGCCAUUGAGAAUAAUUGAUCUGCUAUGAGUAAAAG